GGAGUGUGAACAUGAAUAAGGACAGUACAAAAUACUCGAAGGCAUUUAACACCCGACCCAAUCAGAUGAAGACGUAUCCAUGUAUGCAAUGGCAUUGCGGUAGAAAAGGUAGUAAAUCAAGAUAAGAAAACAUCCAAAAGUCAUGUCUUGAUGGCAUCAUCUCGUAAUAUGGCAAGAAACAAAGAUAGAAGAGUGAAACCACACGGCACCCAAUGAGAUUAUUUUUAACAUGGCAUUGCAGUAGAAAAGAGUUAUUUUUAAGGUGCUACCAUGCUCUUUCUCGAAGUAUUUCAUUGUCUCAAGUUUAUAUUGCCACUCCACUUAUGAUGCGCCGGCCCUGACCACAACAAAAAUUAAAAUGAAAUGUAACCAAAGUUAUCCACGUUAGGCACAAAGAGAGAAACGAUGCAAAUGUUCUCACCUCAAUGAAUGAGUUUCGCGAGAAAAGGGGCGAAAGGGACUAUAUAGUAAGAGGAGAUGG